rnacentral:rRNA from 1 species
UGAACGCUAGCUACAGGCUUAACACAUGCAAGUCGAGGGGCAGCAUGGUCUUAGCUUGCUAAGGCCGAUGGCGACCGGCGCACGGGUGAGUAACACGUAUCCAACCUGCCGUCUACUCUUGGACAGCCUUCUGAAAGGAAGAUUAAUACAAGAUGGCAUCAUGAGUCCGCAUGUUCACAUGAUUAAAGGUAUUCCGGUAGACGAUGGGGAUGCGUUCCAUUAGAUAGUAGGCGGGGUAACGGCCCACCUAGUCUUCGAUGGAUAGGGGUUCUGAGAGGAAGGUCCCCCACAUUGGAACUGAGACACGGUCCAAACUCCUACGGGAGGCAGCAGUGAGGAAUAUUGGUCAAUGGGCGAGAGCCUGAACCAGCCAAGUAGCGUGAAGGAUGACUGCCCUAUGGGUUGUAAACUUCUUUUAUAAAGGAAUAAAGUCGGGUAUGGAUACCCGUUUGCAUGUACUUUAUGAAUAAGGAUCGGCUAACUCCGUGCCAGCAGCCGCGGUAAUACGGAGGAUCCGAGCGUUAUCCGGAUUUAUUGGGUUUAAAGGGAGCGUAGAUGGAUGUUUAAGUCAGUUGUGAAAGUUUGCGGCUCAACCGUAAAAUUGCAGUUGAUACUGGAUAUCUUGAGUGCAGUUGAGGCAGGCGGAAUUCGUGGUGUAGCGGUGAAAUGCUUAGAUAUCACGAAGAACUCCGAUUGCGAAGGCAGCCUGCUAAGCUGCAACUGACAUUGAGGCUCGAAAGUGUGGGUAUCAAACAGGAUUAGAUACCCUGGUAGUCCACACGGUAAACGAUGAAUACUCGCUGUUUGCGAUAUACUGCAAGCGGCCAAGCGAAAGCGUUAUGUAUUCCACGUGGGGAGUACGCCGGCAACGGUGAAACUCAAAGGAAUUGACGGGGGCCCGCACAAGCGGAGGAACAUGUGGUAUAAUUAGAUGAUACGCGAGGAACCUUACCCGGGCUUAAAUCGCAGAUGAAUUACGGUGAAAGCUGUAAGCCGCAAGGCAUCUGUGAAGGUGCUGCAUGGUUGUCGUCAGCUCGUGCCGUGAGGUGUCGGCUUAAGUGCCAUAACGAGCGCAACCCUUGUUGUCAGUUACUAACAGGUUCCGCUGAGGACUCUGACAAGACUGCCAUCGUAAGAUGUGAGGAAGGUGGGGAUGACGUCAAAUCAGCACGGCCCUUACGUCCGGGGCUACACACGUGUUACAAUGGGGGGUACAGAGGGCCGCUACCACGCGAGUGGAUGCCAAUCCCCAAAACCUCUCUCAGUUCGGAUUGGAGUCUGCAACCCGACUUCACGAAGCUGGAUUCGCUAGUAAUCGCGCAUCAGCCACGGCGCGGUGAAUACGUUCCCGGGCCUUGUACACACCGCCCGUCAAGCCAUGGGAGCCGGGGGUACCUGAAGUGCGUAACCGCGAGGAGCGCCCUAGGGUAAAACUGGUGACUGGG